UGGGGAAUAUUGGACAAUGGGCGCAAGCCUGAUCCAGCCAUGCCGCGUGAGUGAUGAAGGCCCUAGGGUUGUAAAGCUCUUUCACCGGUGAAGAUAAUGACGGUAACCGGAGAAGAAGCCCCGGCUAACUUCGUGCCAGCAGCCGCGGUAAUACGAAGGGGGCUAGCGUUGUUCGGAUUUACUGGGCGUAAAGCGCACGUAGGCGGACUUUUAAGUCAGGGGUGAAAUCCCGGGGCUCAACCCCGGAACUGCCUUUGAUACUGGAAGUCUUGAGUAUGGUAGAGGUGAGUGGAAUUCCGGGUGUAGAGGUGAAAUUCGUAGAUAUUCGGAGGAGCACCAGUGGCGAAGGCGGCUCACUGGACCAUUACUGACGCUGAGGUGCGAAAGCGUGGGGAGCAAACAGG
rnacentral:rRNA from 1 species